UCAAAAUCGAACCCAACACUUCCAUUUUUA
rnacentral:piRNA from 1 species